GUGGUGUGAACUGGACAAACAGGGUUACUGUGGACGGGAAAUCGUGGGUGCGGAGAGGGCAGGCUUCCUCGG